CCUACGGGAGGCAGCAGUAGGGAAUCUUCCACAAUGGGCGAAAGCCUGAUGGAGCAACGCCGCGUGGGUGAAGAAGGUCUUCGGAUCGUAAAACCCUGUUGUUAGAGAAGAAAGUGCGUGAGAGUAACUGUUCACGUUUCGACGGUAUCUAACCAGAAAGCCACGGCUAACUACGUGCCAGCAGCCGCGGUAAUACGUAGGUGGCAAGCGUUAUUCGGAUUUAUUGGGCGUAAAGGGAACGCAGGCGGUCUGUUAAGUCUGAUGUGAAAGCUUUCGGCUCAACCGGAGUAGUGCAUUGGAGACUGGGAGACUUGAGUGCAGAAGAGGAAGGUGGAACUCGAGGUGUAGCGGUGAAAUGCGUAGAUAUCAGGAGGAACACCAGUGGCGAAGGCAGCCUGCUGAACGACAACUGACGGUGAGGCGCGAAAGCGUGGGGAGCAAACAGGAUUAGAUACCCUUGUAGUC
rnacentral:rRNA from 1 species